rnacentral:rRNA from 1 species
UUGGUGCCGUUCGGGAACUCUGACCACAGGUGCUGCAUGGCUGUCGUCAGCUCGUGUCGUGAGAUGGUUGGGUUAAGUCCCGUAACGAGCGCAACCCUUGUCCUUAGUUACCAGCACGUUAUGGUGGGCACUCUAAGGAGACUGCCGGUGACAAACCGGAGGAAGGUGGGGAUGACGUCAAGUCAUCAUGGCCCUUACGGCCUGGGCUACACACGUGCUACAAUGGUCGGUACAAAGGGUUGCCAAGCCGCGAGGUGGAGCUAAUCCCAUAAAACCGAUCGUAGUCCGGAUCGCAGUCUGCAACUCGACUGCGUGAAGUCGGAAUCGCUAGUAAUCGUGAAUCAGAAUGUCACGGUGAAUACGUUCCCGGGCCUU